GUGCCAGCAGCCGCGGUAAUACGUAGGUGGCAAGCGUUAUCCGGAAUUAUUGGGCGUAAAGCGCGCGUAGGCGGUUUUUUAAGUCUGAUGUGAAAGCCCACGGCUCAACCGUGGAGGGUCAUUGGAAACUGGAAAACUUGAGUGCAGAAGAGGAAAGUGGAAUUCCAUGUGUAGCGGUGAAAUGCGCAGAGAUCUGGAGGAACACCAGUGGCGAAGGCGACUUUCUGGUCUGUAACUGACGCUGAUGUGCGAAAGCGUGGGGAUCAAACAGGAUUAG
rnacentral:rRNA from 1 species